CAUAGCUAAAUUAUCCUUUGCUUGCUACUGUUUUGGAAGAUUUGGUGCCAUUUAUGUACAAUUUCUUUCAUCUUCCAAACACAGCUACAGGGAGAUCCAAAAUUACAUCCAAUGUGAGGUUACGGUGUGAUUAAACAAAUAAAUGUUCCCUUUGCUUCUUUGCUUAAUUGUCCAAAGUGAAGUCUCAGUUGACUUGGCUUUCUGAUCCUUUUGAGAUCUCGGCUUUUCUUCAAUCGUUCAAAGUUCUUGCUUUUUCCCUUGACUGCCCCUGAGGAUAUUCCCCUUCCCUAACUUCUGUUUUGGGUUUGGUGCAGGUAUCUUAAGUAAAUCCAAGUAACAUGAAUUCCACUAUUGCAAUCCAGGAUGUUAUGCCUUUCAUUGUGAUCAUUAUUGCAACAUAGCUUAACCACAGACAAAUGGGAAAUGCUGUUUCAACAUUACAAUUGUUCUUUGUGGGUAUGAGCCUAUAUAAAAGCAACAGACAAGGUGAAUUGAGGUUUAAAAGUCUGCAUUCUUAAAAGUAAGACAGCUGAGCAGCAUUUGGACUCAGUAUGGGACGAAUAUUCCUUUGGGGAGGUUUUGCCAUCUUGCUGUUUCUUCAGAGCAGUUUUGCUUUCAAAGUGGUUUGCUAUUUCACCAACUGGGCUCAGUAUAGACCAAACAAAGGGUGAUUCCUUCCUCGUGACAUUGACCCUAAUGUGUGCACUCAUCUCAUUUACGCAUUUGCGGGAAUGAAAGGAAACGAGAUUGCAACUCUGGAAUGGAACGAUGUGGACCUCUACAAGGAAUUCAAUGAUCUCAAAAAGAAGAAUCCAGGACUGAAGACACUGUUAGCUAUCGGUGGAUGGACAUUUGGUAGUGCAAAGUAAGUUGUGGGAUGUGUGUUUCUCAGAAAGAAACUUCAUCAUGAGAAUUCCACAAUGAGAGCUUUCUAAUUUGCAGACUUCUGGUGGAAUUCUAGGAUUCUAGCUCUCUUUUUUAUUUGAAAUUAAGUUUCUAAUUUUCACAAAUGCAAAUAAUACUCUUGGUGCCUUACUCCAGCGUAAUUUGCCAGAGUGAUCCGUAAUAGCUGUGUGGAGCAAACAAUGGGACAGAAUAAAAUGCAUUUCUCCUGCAAGAAGGAAUCCCCAAAGCUUAAAUCCAAUUGUUAACUCCAACAACAAAAGCUCAGUUGAAUCAGUGAAAAUUAAGUAAAUCUGACUUAGCAAAUCCCUGUGUAUUGAUAGGUCUACUCUAGUUGGGACUAACAACAGGAUGUAAGCCAAUGUAUUUUAGAAUCAUCAAUAUUCAGUGACACUGUUCCCUCCCCCACAUCUAAUACUGAGCCUGACAUUUUCAGGCCAUGAAAUUGAAAUAAUGAGAAAUAUGCAUAUUAGCUCCAAU
rnacentral:lncRNA from 1 species